rnacentral:rRNA from 1 species
CCUACGGGAGGCAGCAGUGGGGAAUAUUGGACAAUGGGCGAAAGCCUGAUCCAGCCAUGCCGCGUGAGUGAUGAAGGCCCUAGGGUUGUAAAGCUCUUUCACCGGUGAAGGUAAUGACGGUAACCGGAGAAGAAGCCCCGGCUAACUUCGUGCCAGCAGCCGCGGUAAUACGAAGGGGGCUAGCGUUGUUCGGAAUUACUGGGCGUAAAGCGCACGUAGGCGGAUAUUUAAGUCAGGGGUGAAAUCCCGGGGCUCAACCCCGGAACUGCCUUUGAUACUGGGUAUCUAGAGUAUGGUAGAAGGUGAGUGGAAUUCCGAGUGUAGAGGUGAAAUUCGUAGAUUUCUCGGAGGACCCCAGUGGCGAAGGCGGCUCACUGGACCAUUACUGACCUUAGUGCGAAAGCUGGGGAACCAAACAGGAUUAGAUACCCUGGUAGUCCCGCCGUAAACGAUGGAAGCUAGCCGUUGGCAGGUUUACCUGUCGGUGGCGCAGCUAACGCAUUAAGCUUCCCGCCUGGGGAGUACGGUCGCAAGAUUAAAACUCAAAGGAAUUGACGG